AUGCCCACCAUGCUGCCCACCGUCUCGGGCAGGAUGAUCAUGUCCUGCAGGUGCGUCUUCAACACUUCCGGCUUCUCCAUGGGCGGUGCCUCCUUCCUGGCAUUGCGCAGGCGCUUCAGCAGCAAGUGCUGCUUCCCCCGCAGGCCCUGGUUCAGCCGCCCUGCUGGCGCGCACUUUGCCGCUUCGUCAGCUUCUGGUAGGACAUGUCUCCACGCUGCGCGAAACAUUAGUGGAAGCAAAAUCCGGCUGACUCCUACCUGGCUUCCUGGUCUCAGAAAUAAUAAUCAGUUGGCUACCAAGCUGCCUCAGUUUUCCCCAGGGGACCGGUGUCUAGGAGACCGAGAACUGACAGAUUUGAAUGCACCCAGACUGAAGCAAGCCCACUUUCAGGCUGUCCUCUCUGGACAAUCAAAUCCACUGCACUACACUCAACAUCGAAGGAGAAUAGCUGACAGCAUCUUUAUCACCUCCAAAAAAUAACACACUGCCCCCUGUGGUGGUUGGACAGUGCUCUGUGGCUUCACUUGGCAGCUUUCUUAGCUUUCUUCUUCCUCUGUAGGAAUUGGGCUUUUGUUGCAUUUCUAAGCCCAGCCUACAUCUCUUUUACUGAGGAAAUACAUGAUUUAAAUACAGAGAGACAAAUAUUUAAGUCAGAGUCUGUUCCCAAUAACCCAUCAUCUGGCAAAUUAUAUGGGACUAUCUAUUUCUAUAAUCUUAACGCAGGUGGCGAACUUACUAAGUUAAUGUCAGGGGUGACAAAUGGUCUAUUUCAAUUGGAUUUAAUCAAUAAUUUUUUUUCUUCACAAAAAGGAGCUGCUAUCACGUGUAACAUAAAAGGAAAAAGAAACACCUAGUUCACUAAAAAAUACAUGUUUUGCAGUAGCUAUUUUGUGCGUGCUGUUCAUAAUGAAAAAAAAAGGUAAAGAUUUUGUCUUCAAGUUGCUUAGGGGCUUUCGAAAAAUAGUCUAAAAGCCCUGUAAAAUUGCUCUAAUCAAUGCAUGUUCAUGAUACUAAAGAAGCAGAGGGAAGGGAGCACUGAAGUCAUCCUGGGCUGGGAGUUUUCUUGGAACAAAGACUGUUGGAUCUUGUCAUAGGUCUGGAAAUAUGGUGUGGCAGACUGAAGAGUCAGAAGUGGGGUUACCCAGGAACCAGAUAGUACCGGAACAAAAGAGAUCUUGGAUUUCCAAGAAAAGCAAAGAGUUUGAUUAACUAGAAUUUUGGGGUGAAUGAUGGGGAGAAAGGUGAAACCGAGUAGAGUGUUCAGUGACCACAUCAUACGGGACCUCAAAGACCCGUCUCCUUGGAGAGACAUGAGACUGCCUGACAAUACAGUUUUUGAGCCUGUGGCUUUUCUCUUCAUCCAACAAGCUUGGAUUGUUGCAGAAAGAGAAAGAGAGCUAUGCCCAGUUCCCUAUUCCUCUUCUUCUGACUGCUCUCUCCCCUUCAGAACUUAUUCUGAAUGGCACUGGAAACCUCUUAU
rnacentral:lncRNA from 13 species